UCACGUCCUCUCCGGUUACAGUAGUGGCUGUACUGCAUGCAGUCUGCAGUCUCUGAAUAGUCUGAGUAGAGUCCAUGCAGUGAAUGUGUAGCAGAAGUACCUAGCUUCGAGUAAAGUAUUUUAGUAGUUCAACUACAACAAAGUACAAGCCAAACAGUUUGUUUGGCUGACUUAUAGGCGUGGGUGCAGCGAGGACUUCUGGCAUAGUCAGAUGGGUGCUCUGACGUCUCUCACGUCGUUCUUCUGGUUUUAGCUGCCCAAAAAGUCUGGCCAAAUGGUGCAGAUGCGAUGAUGAAUGUUGUGUUUUAUGCGUCAGAUUGUUUCGUCUACGGUCCACCGGACGAGAAAGUGGCUGGUGAUGACACGGAUUCUGCACAGGAGUCGUUGACUCUUUACUGUUGAUUGGGUUUCUCUUCUGCAAGCACGUCCUUCUGGUGUGCUGUGAUUGCGAUGUUCGCAUCCCUUGGAUAUGUGUGAGGUUUAACGCUUCCCUGUCGAUUUACAUACCUGAACUUGCACUGGCGACUGAAGAGAGACCGAGUUGGAUAUGCUGAAAAACGCUCGUCGAGCUGUGAAGGUGUUCCAGAGCGAGAAUGUCAGAAGUGUACCUGAAUCAUGCACCGCGGACUUGUUCAGCAUUUCAAAGACUGUGCGACAUGGCUUUCCCUGGCGACCCACCGUGUUGGCGGUGGAUGUGGUGCAGAGUUUGCUGGCAGUUGGCUGUGAGACAGGAGAAAUUAAAUUCUUUGGACGUGCUGGCGUAGAGCAUAGCGUAGACCAUCCUAGUGGUGCCAAGGUGCAAUGUCUAACUUUUUUGGUGAACGAGGGUGCGCUAAUCAGUGUCACCGCGGACAACUGCGUACACAUGUGGAAUCUGCGUCAGAAAAUCCCCGCCAUUGUUCAGUCUCUGAACUUUAUUGAGAAGAGCACUGGAUCGAGUAAUCCAAGUGGAAAGAUAUCGUGUUGCUACGUCCCGUGCCAGUCCACGUGGCUCUACAUCGGCACCGAGGAUGGCAACGUGUACACCGUCGUCAUCUCCUCGUUCACCGUCUCCUUCUACGUCAUCUAUUGGAAUCACGUCAUUGACAAUGCAAUGAAAUUUCGCCCAGGGGCAGUACGAUUCCUUGUAGAAAAUCCUGAUGACAACAAUAAAAUGUUACUCGUGUAUGAGGAGUUCAUGGCGUUGUGGGAUCUACGCUCCAAGUCUGUCAUUUUCCGGCACAGGGGUGAAAAGGGUCCAACCGGUGUGUCAUGGCAGAAUGACGGCAAACAGUUUGUCAUCUCACGGCAGGACGGCAGCAUAGUUGUCUGCAGUGGAAAGGAUGGGAAGCAACUGCGCACUGUUGUCGGUGCAGCCGUGAAGUCCUCACUUGAUACUUUCGUUCCACCUUCGCAUCUGCAGUGGCUGUCAAUGAAAGAGGAGUCGUUGAUAAUCCACAGCGGUGGGUCUAAGGCUGAGAAUGCGGCUCGCUCCGUUACCGUUCGCCGUGGCGAUGAUGUCAAAACGCUGGACUUCUCUUCGGACAUCGUCGGUGUCGCCUGUUUGCCCAGUUGUCCCUACGCUAACGAGAUCCAGGAUCCACACACCAUGGUUGUUCUCGGCCGGGAUUGCCUCGAUGUUCUGGACAUGACCACGCCAAGCCUGCCAUACUUCUCACUGCCAUAUGCCACAUCAAUCAGUCAGUCACUGGUCACCUGUGUUAGAUACGAGGCGGAUGUACCGCCCGAUAUGCUCGAGUCCCUGGAGGACGCCGGCCGCUCUCAGAAGCCUGUCAAGCAAGGCACUCGAAGAUUGUACCCAGUGAGUGGUGGAGCGGUAUCGCAGUUUGUCACUGACUUUAGUGACUUGAUUGUGACAGGCCAUGCUGACGGAUCAGUCAAGUUCUGGGAUGCAUCUCAAGUUGUCCUGACCAGCCUGUACAGUGUGCAAACAGCGGACUUCUUUGAGCCCGUCAACAAACAACAACAACAGCAGCAGCAGCAGGCACUGCCACAGCCACAUUCUGACCUGUGGAAGAGAGCAGUGUCGCACGACAGCAUGCUGUCAUCGACUACUUCCAGGGGGCAUCAUGACCAUGCUAAACGGCAUGGAUCCUCCAGCAGCCUCACUGUUGCCCCACCAUCGUCCCAGCUGCAGCGCGAGCUGCUCAAGAAACAGCGCUCUUCACAGUCGCAGGGUACCGAAAGCACUGGCGGUGGUGACCUGCCCCUGGUUGCUAUUCAAAGCCUGCAGUUUUGCGGGGAGAGUGGCACGUUAGUCAUCACCAACAUGGCGUCCGUAGUCAUGCUAUGUCGCUUCUCUGGGCAGGAGAAAGAUGUGGCCAUUCAGGACUUGCGCGUGUCCUCGAACACUUCUGAUCUAACAGUGCGACGAUCAAUGUCAAACAUUGUCAUAUCCUCCGAGGACGGCAGUGAGGCCAAAGCACCGCUCAAACGUGUGGCCGACUCGCUCGACGGCGACAGCGUCGACGGAGAAUUCCAGCUGCCGUGGCUGCAGUGUCGGCGCGGCAAGUUCCGCCAGCACAAGGGCCUGCACGCGCAGCUGUGCCUGACAACGUCGGCACCGGGAGAGGAGCGCAUGCCGCGUGUAGUGGAAUACUGCGCCACACUAGCCCUGCUUGCAGUGACCACAUCUAAUCUUAUGAUGUUGGUGGAUGUAGCCCAGCAGAAGUUGAUUAUUAGCAAGCCAGUCUCACAUUUAUCUGGGAGUAUUAGUCAGAUGCUGGCUGACCGGAGGCGUUCAAUGACAAUGUCUAAUGGAUCUCCGUCGUCAGCAGAUCGCGGUCGGAAACUACCGAGACUGCCGACGGUUCGCCGCAUCCCGAAAACGUCUGUUCCGGCGCUGGCAACGGAGGGAAGUGACUCUACGACGUCUCCCGUACUUAGCAAGAAGCGUAGCCUUGGCUUCACUCUGCGAAAACACUCUAACCAUGAGCUCUCGGCGCCCAUUACAGAGGAUGGACAUGCUGGUGGGGAAAGUGCUUCCAGUCCGGUAGAACCACCGCCGUCAAACAAAUGGAAAGGCAAGUCGUUCCUUAACGAUGUCAAGCGCAAGACAUCGUCGCAACAUCGGCUGGAUGUUGAUGCGGUGACGUGUUCCGUUGGCUCAGACAGGGAGGACACGGUGGAAGAUUCGGAACUGCAAACAGAAGGAGAUUCGUGUCCCAUGGCAGAUUCGGAGUAUGCUGUGUGCAUGCAGUUUGCGCUGACUUACGCUAUCAAGGACGAAAUGCUGACGUACCCCAGUUUAUGGAUGGGCACAAGCACUGGGAAUAUCCUCGGCCUGUCGUUGACGAUGCCUCCUACGCCUGAGUCCAGAACCAUCCAGGACGUUAGCUUCGAGUCGAGAGUCGUUGUGCUGCGUGUGACAAGCAAGUCAUCGAUAUCGACCAUCGCAAUACUGGACGAGAAGGGACAAGUGCCCCACCUGCCUGGUACGCCAUACGUCGACCCACGUGCUACGAAUAGACGUAGCAGCGGUCAGCUGCCUUUGCCAGUCAUGGACAAGAGCAAUAAGGCGUCUGGCCGGCUGAGUAAUGCCGAGUCACCCACUGCACCACCCAGCCACUUCCUUGUGGCGGUGUCAGAUUUGAACGCAUAUGUCUACUCUUUGCCAUCUCAUGCGAGAAAGAAGUGUACAGUACGUGACAAUGCUAUUGUUCUACGGUCCACGGUGACGUCCAUUGGAGAGGGCGCCGUGCUCUGCACUCUGACCAACGACGGCCAUUCGGUCAUCAUCUCGCUGCCCAGCCUCACCGCUCUGCAUGACGCUGAGCUAUGUCCUGCACCUCUACCAAUCAGAAUGGUGGACACCCUCCGGUGGUCAUCUGGUGGUCAAGCGGUGUACAUGUCAAAUCCAUCAAACAUCCAACGUGUCUCUUUGCUCAAGGAGAACAUGCUAAACUUGCCGGAUAGUCUUCCCGACAUUCACACCGUCAAGACUUUCCCGGAGCGGCCACCGAAGGGAUUCUUUGCCAGUUUGAUUGGUGGCGGCAAGAAAUUGGAUCGGGAUGCGCUGUUUGGCUCUGAGCUGGGCGAAGGUGAUGGUAACACCACUGUUGCGACGCACGUCAGUGGCACUGGUGGCCUGGAAGCAGUGAGCCUUAAGACCGGCACUGUAUUCAGCGAAGUAAUGCAACUUUGUACAGGGAGACGUCGUCCGCGUACUGUCGAGCCUUGCAGUGCUGGGGUACAGAUGGGAGCUUUCUGACUGACAGAUUGAAGAGAGAGGGCCCCAAGACGGAGCCUUGCGGAACCCCCCUGUUGCUGCUAUAUGCGUUGCAUGAGCGUGAAAAGAAGAUCGCUGAAGUGGAGCAGAAGACGGCGGAGAUGGCGCGCAGCGCGUCUCAGUUUGUAAAGACCGCCCAGGCACUCAAUCAACAUUACGGUGGUCGCCCCUAGGAUUGUCUUGAGCCGACCGAUGAUGAGCGGUAGCUGUGCUGUUCUUAGCAGUGUUUUGAUAGCCGCACGUACUGCUCAUGCCGUAGUUCUGUUGAUGGUUGUAGCUCUUUCCUAGAAACUACCCUUCAGUAUUGUCAGCACCAAAGUUCUCUCACUGCCACGUAUGUGAAUUAAAGAUGCCUGCUCCACUUUGAGCGGCUUGAAUGGUCAUAGUGACAAGCUCGAAGGAUAAUUGAAUUCUUGCACAUCAUAUUUCACUGGAAAUUCCCUUCAUCUAUUAUCACACACCAGAUGAGUCCACGUUCCCGUGGAUGCUUACCCACCCACAAAGGAUUAUUAUCACCGUUCAACUUGAUUUCUCACCUUUCUCCGAGUCUUGGCGGGCAUGCCGAAUAACACUAGCAAUGCAUUUUCAGUUGUUCACUUCAUGUACUAGUCCAUGUACAUGCCUGGCCCCAAGUACUAGUAUCCUGUAUGUAACAAAUUAAAUUUUACCAUCCCAUACUUCAAAGUACCAGUACAUUGUAAUGCAUGACCCUGGCACACUCCUCGAUGAUUCCACCAUGACAUUUUUUUUUAAAGUUGCAAUUACCAUCUCGAUCCACGCGGAACAUAAUUUACCCCGCGUACAAAUUGACUUCAGCGAUGAUUCAAAUUUUUAUAUGGUUCCGAUGGAUUUCCGAAGAAGAAUUUCUUUCACAAUUUA